UGGGGGAUAGUGAGGGGAUAAAUUUCCUUAAGGAACUCGGCAAAAUCCCAAUGGCCCACCAGGGCAUAUAUUGGAACAUGGGCCUCGACUGUUUACCAAAAACAUAGCCCUCGGCCAAUAUGAAAAUAGAAGUAUGGAGGGUGAGGCCUGCCCAAUGGUUGUAUCUAAAAGCGGUUGAUAAAAGUCGACCUCGUAAGGACAAUUGAAUGGCCGCGGUAACACUGACCGUGAUAAUGUAGCGUAAUCAAUAGCCAAUUAAUUGUUGGCCAGUAUGAAUGGCGCCACGAAGGCCCCACUGUCUUAAGGAAAUUCCCAGUGAAAUUGAAUUCGUAGUGAAGAUGCUACGUCCAAUUUGUUAGACGAAAAGACCCCGUUGAGCUUUACUGGGGCACUUACACGGCCCCGGCCUCUAAGAGGCCGAAUUUAAAUGGGCGGCUUAGACUAUGUGGCAGCCCCCCCGUCGGGGCAGAUGAAACACCACUCCCCCAUGUCAAAGGGGCUAACCCCCCCCCCUUGGGGGGGGGGGACAAUGUAAGUAGGACAGUUUGGUUGGGGCGACCGCCUUUUAGAGAGUAACGAAGGUGCGCUUAAGGUGCGUAAUUAAUGACUGAAGCCUGACUGCGAGGGGGACACCCCGAGCAGACACCCCCAAGCCCGCCCGCCCUAGCUGCCUUUUGGAUCAGCUAGGCCGGGCGGCGGUGGGGGUGGGCCAUAGUGACCCGUUAAUUUAGAGUGGAAUAGUUAACGAUCAACGAAUAAAAG
rnacentral:rRNA from 1 species